rnacentral:rRNA from 1 species
GGGUUGUGAGGUUAAGCGACUAAGCGUACACGGUGGAUGCCUAGGCAGUCAGAGGCGAUGAAGGGCGUGCUAAUCUGCGAUAAGCGUCGGUAAGCUGAUAUGAAGCGUUAUAUCCGACGAUACCCGAAUGGGGAAACCCAGUGUGUUUCGACACACUAUCAUGACAUGAAUACAUAGUGUCAUGAGGCGAACCGGGGGAACUGAAACAUCUCAGUACCCCGAGGAAAAGAAAUCAACCGAGAUUCCCCCAGUAGCGGCGAGCGAACGGGGAGGAGCCCAGAACCUGAAUCAGUUUGUGUGUUAGUGGAAGCGUCUGGAAAGUCGCACAGUAAAGGGUGAUAGUCCCGUACACAAAAAUGCACAGAUUGUGAGUUCGAUGAGUAGGGCGGGACACGUGACAUCCUGUCUGAAUAUGGGGGGACCAUCCUCCAAGGCUAAAUACUCCUGACUGACCGAUAGUGAACCAGUACCGUGAGGGAAAGGCGAAAAGAACCCCGGCGAGGGGAGUGAAAUAGAACCUGAAACCGUGUACGUACAAGCAGUGGGAGCCUACUUGUUAGGUGACUGCGUACCUUUUGUAUAAUGGGUCAGCGACUUAUAUUCUGUAGCAAGGUUAACCGUAUAGGGGAGCCGCAGGGAAACCGAGUCUUAACUGGGCGUUAAGUUGCAGGGUAUAGACCCGAAACCCGGUGAUCUAGCCAUGGGCAGGUUGAAGGUUGGGUAACACUAACUGGAGGACCGAACCGACUAAUGUUGAAAAAUUAGCGGAUGACUUGUGGCUGGGGGUGAAAGGCCAAUCAAACCGGGAGAUAGCUGGUUCUCCCCGAAAGCUAUUUAGGUAGCGCCUCGUGAAUUCAUCUUCGGGGGUAGAGCACUGUUUCGGCUAGGGGGUCAUCCCGACUUACCAACCCGAUGCAAACUACGAAUACCGAAGAAUGUUAUCACGGGAGACACACGGCGGGUGCUAACGUUCGUCGUGAAGAGGGAAACAACCCAGACCGCCAGCUAAGGUCCCAAAGUCAUGGUUAAGUGGGAAACGAUGUGGGAAGGCAUAGACAGCCAGGAUGUUGGCUUAGAAGCAGCCAUCAUUUAAAGAAAGCGUAAUAGCUCACUGGUCGAGUCGGCCUGCGCGGAAGAUGUAACGGGGCUAAACCAUGCACCGAAGCUGCGGCAGCGACACUUAGGUGUUGUUGGGUAGGGGAGCGUUCUGUAAGCCUGCGAAGGUGGCCUGUGAGGGCUGCUGGAGGUAUCAGAAGUGCGAAUGCUGACAUAAGUAACGAUAAUGCGGGUGAAAAACCCGCACGCCGGAAGACCAAGGGUUCCUGUCCAACGUUAAUCGGGGCAGGGUGAGUCGACCCCUAAGGCGAGGCUGAAAAGCGUAGUCGAUGGGAAACAGGUUAAUAUUCCUGUACUCGGUGUUACUGCGAAGGGGGGACGGAGAAAGCUAGGUUAUCCGGGCGACGGUUGUCCCGGUUUAAGCGUGAAGGUGGAUGACUUUGGUAAAUCCGGGUCAUCGUUAACACUGAGGCGUGAUGACGAGUCACUACGGUGAUGAAGUAACCGAUGCUACGCUUCCAGGAAAAGCCUCUAAGCUCCAGGUAACAUCAAAUCGUACCCCAAACCGACACAGGUGGUCAGGUAGAGAAUACUCAGGCGCUUGAGAGAACUCGGGUGAAGGAACUAGGCAAAAUGGUGCCGUAACUUCGGGAGAAGGCACGCUGAUGGUAGGUGAAGUGACUUGCUCAUGGAGCUGAAAUCAGUCGAAGAUACCAGCUGGCUGCAACUGUUUAAUAAAAACACAGCACUGUGCAAACACGAAAGUGGACGUAUACGGUGUGACGCCUGCCCGGUGCCGGAAGGUUAAUUGAUGGGGUCAGCCGCAAGGCGAAGCUCUUGAUCGAAGCCCCGGUAAACGGCGGCCGUAACUAUAACGGUCCUAAGGUAGCGAAAUUCCUUGUCGGGUAAGUUCCGACCUGCACGAAUGGCGUAAUGAUGGCCAGGCUGUCUCCACCCGAGACUCAGUGAAAUUGAACUCGCUGUGAAGAUGCAGUGUACCCGCGGCAAGACGGAAAGACCCCGUGAACCUUUACUAUAGCUUGACACUGAACCUUGAGCCUUGAUGUGUAGGAUAGGUGGGAGGCUUUGAAGUGUGGACGCCAGUCUGCGUGGAGCCAACCUUGAAAUACCACCCUUUAAUGUUUGAUGUUCUAACGUGGACCCGUAAUCCGGGUUGCGGACAGUGUCUGGUGGGUAGUUUGACUGGGGCGGUCUCCUCCCAAAGCGUAACGGAGGAGCACGAAGGUUAGCUAAUCCUGGUCGGACAUCAGGAGGUUAGUGCAAAGGCAUAAGCUAGCUUGACUGCGAGAGUGACAGCUCGAGCAGGUGCGAAAGCAGGUCUUAGUGAUCCGGUGGUUCUGAAUGGAAGGGCCAUCGCUCAACGGAUAAAAGGUACUCCGGGGAUAACAGGCUGAUACCGCCCAAGAGUUCAUAUCGACGGCGGUGUUUGGCACCUCGAUGUCGGCUCAUCACAUCCUGGGGCUGAAGUAGGUCCCAAGGGUAUGGCUGUUCGCCAUUUAAAGUGGUACGCGAGCUGGGUUUAGAACGUCGUGAGACAGUUCGGUCCCUAUCUGCCGUGGGCGUUGGAAGAUUGAGAGGGGUUGCUCCUAGUACGAGAGGACCGGAGUGAACGCACCACUGGUGUACGGGUUGUGAUGCCAAUUGCAUUGCCCGGUAGCUAAGUGCGGAAGAGAUAACCGCUGAAAGCAUCUAAGCGGGAAACUUGCCUCGAGAUGAGUCUUCCCUGGACACUUGAUGUCCCUGAAGGGCCGUUGAAGACGACGACGUAGAUAGGCUGGGUGUGUAAGCGUAGCGAUACGUUGAGCUGACCAGUACUAAUGACCCGAGAGGCUUAACCUUACAACACCGAAGGUGUUU